rnacentral:lncRNA from 1 species
GAGAUUUCAAUAGAUUUAUCUUCUUUAAUGUUCUUCCAAAGGUGAUCUUUCACUUUUUUCCAUUCGUUUAGCCCCUUUUUAUGCGAAAGUAGUCCGCUCAAUACAACAAUUGCAAGAGGUAAGCCUCUACACUUUUCCACCAUAUCCUUAGCUAGACCUUCCAUUUCUGGAACCAUUGCUCGAACAUCAAGUAGUUUCCUGCAAAAGAGAUCCCAACUUUCUUCUUGGCUUAGGAAACGAAGUUUAUGAACAAAACCUCUGUCGUCUGCUCUUUCAGCGACAUCCUCUUUGCGUGUUGUAAUAAUGACUCUGUUGCCAUUCUUGCUAUCUGGGAAUGCUCUUUUCAAACUCUCCCAUGCUUCUUUUUGCCAUACAUCAUCAACCACCACAAGGAAUUUGCGUUCUUUUAAUAGAUCACGAAGAUAAAUUUCUAUAUCUCCUUCCGUCAUCCUCUCCAACAAAUCUAGAGUUUCCAUGGUGCGACCUUGAAUGGAUUUUAUGAUAGUCUUAAGAAGAUCCAUUGUGUUGUACUCUUGAGAAACACAUAUCCAAGCACGUGUAGGGAAACUAGAGGCUAUAUCAGGACAGUUGUAAAGUUUUUUCGCAAGAGUGGUCUUGCCUAAACCCCCCAUUCCAUAAAUGGAGAGGACGGUUCGACUAGGCUCUGGUUUGAGAAGUUGAGCUAGCAAUGUUUGUACAACAUCCUGAAGUCCAACAAAAAUGUAAUCGUGGUCAUCUACAUAUGAGGUAGUUCUCCUCAAUGUUGUAACCUGAUUACUUGGCCCUUCAUCUCCUGAAUUGAUAUUUGUAAUACCAUAAGUAUCUCGCUUGCGAGAUAUAUCUAUGAUUCGCUGCUUGAGUGAUUGAAUCUCCUCUGCCACGUUGUAGAAUUUCUUCUCCUUCCUACAGAUGCAAGCGCAAGCCUUGAGACGACUAUGAAAUUCAUCAUCAUCAUCACCUUUAUCAGCCUCAAAGGCGUAAGUCUCGAGUAUAGCAACAGCAUCAUUAGCGAUACCGUUGAUCUCAAACACCCAUUGUUGAACUCUAUGAUCACCACAUUGCUUUAGUUCUGCAUCUUUGAGGAAAGACUGUAUGAAGAGUAGCUCAUUUCUCAGCCACUCAAAUUCCUUUCUCAGAUUUUUACGCAGCGAAACUUGUUGUAUGAGGAAAUCACCCAAUUUUUGAACUGCAAAUGACAGAAAGGCAUCAGCCAUCUUUAGGAAUAACUAGUUUUGAUUGAAGAAAAGAAAGAAGAGAGAAGGCUGUAUAGUUGAAUACAAGUUGGAAAAUUGGAGAUAAGCAAUAUAUGGACAUAAAAUUAACGUUUUCAAAGGGUCCAUUUAUCACUUAGCAUACCAUUAUUAAAAAAAGGGGAAAAAGGUUUCUCAACUUUACAACUGAUAUAUCCUCGUUAUAAAAGUGGCUCAUAUAUGUCCUUAUCGUUAUACAAACGGCUCACAUAUACCCCUGCCGUUACAAAAUGACUCACAUAUACCCUUCAUUUAACGGAUUUUAAAAAAUUAAUUUUAAAUUUAUAUUUAUUACUUCUAAUUUUUUAAAAAAAAAUAUUUAGGGGUAUAUAUGAUUCUUCUAUCAAAGUUCAAGGUAUAUUUUAAUUUUUUUCAUACAUAAAUUAUUUUUUGACUUCUUUUAUUAUAAUUAUUUGAAUUUCUUAUUCUAUUUUGUUUUUUUCUUUCAUUUCUUAGUUUAAAGAAUAAAAAAUUAAACUAUUUUUUUUGUGUGUAUUGUAAUUUAAUUUCGGAUUCGAAGAAAAAAUUUGAUCAUCUACAAUAAGUUUUACAAGAAUAUUAGUGAAACAAAUAAUAAUUAUAAAUUAGUCAUUGAAACAAAAAAUAUGUUUGACGAGGAUUAAAUUUAUUCAUAUGUGAUUAUAUUUUUUAGAAAAAAAUAAUAAAAAUUUAGAUUAAAAUUAUUAUUUUUUUCAUUUCCGUUAGAUAAAAAGGAUAUAUAUGAGUCAUUUGUUUAUAAGUAGGGGUAUAUAUGAGUCACUUUCAUAACAAGGGGUAUAUCAGCUCUAAAUGACAAAGUUGAGGGGUAUAUUAAACCCUUUUCCCUUAAAAAAAAAAGAUGUAUUAAAGCUUUUUGAAAUUCCCACUAAAACGAAAGGUACUUUUUUUUUAAAUUAAAGCAUCUUCAACAACCAUUACAUAACUUAAUUAUCGAAAAACAUAUAUACAGAAAAGCCUUAAAAAGUUAAAGCAACUUCAACGAUCAUUCCACAACUUGUGGAAAAAUAUAUACGGAGAAAGGAUUAAAAAGAUUAAAGCAUCUUCGACAAUCAUUACAUAACUUGUGGAAAAAAAAUAUAUAGGUGGAAUGACCUGGAAUUCUUGUACUUGACUCCGUUGUAAAUUGGACGUCUCUGAUACAAACGAUUUUGGCAACUGAACUCUUAAACUUAGUGAAAUAAUGUUGAUAUAAAGAGUAGGAAAAUUGAGAAUUGGCAUUGUAAGAUUAUAGGCUUAAGUCAUCGACAGAAAAGCAAGUUUGAAUCUACCAAAAGAAGUUUGUAUUUUUAAUUUGGUUUAUUUGACAAAAGAUAAAAUUUAUGUUGAGAGUAACAAAAAAAAAUUACCCUUUCGUCUACUUUCUCAAACACUUGUAAGGUUUCCAUAAGUAUUGGGGACGAAAAGUGCAUUAAACUGUUAUAAAAGCCUUUACAAAGUAUGCUCUACAUUUGGCCUCUACUGAAUAAGCAUAGUCUCUUCGUCUUUUCUACUAAACUAUUAAUGAACUCUUUCUCCUUGCAUUUCGAGAGAAAGUCGUAAAGGCUCAACUUCUUUAUCGAGUCUCCCAGCUUUAAAAUAGAUGGACAGGUCCCCCAAAAUCAAGAAAUACGGAGCAAUUGAAGAGUUGAAGAAUUCGGGGCCAUUAGGAGUCAAAAAAUUUUUAUAAGUCAUGUGUUUUGUUGUCAUUUGGGCAUACAAGUACAGGUGAAGUGGGUCAAAACCCAAAAGACAAAUGGGCCAAAAAUCCUAAACAGGUGGGUCCGAAAUUUCGGUCAAGAUGGACAAAAACCCGGAUUUGAACCCAAAUCUCUCUCCCUCUCUCUUUAUAUCCUCUUAAUUAUCUGUUUUUAUUUGUCUUUAGUUUAAAGUUAGAAAACUCCAAAUCCCCCUCGAACGCCAUAAUGUUUUAGCAACUUAAAAUUAACCAAGUUUAAAUAGUUUUAAAAAAUAUUUUUCAAUUUAUAAGUUUCGCUUAGAUAAAAAACUAAGAAACUCACUUUCAAACAAUUUCCAAUAAAUUUUAUAAGUUAGUUAUUUUAGCCAAAUGAGUUAGUUGUCGGAUAAUCACAAGUUAGCGGACGUCUGAGGUGCUUUCAAAACCUUACUAAGAUGCUCAUAGGAAUCCCCGAACCCCCCUAAAAUGUUUUCAAUUGAUUUUUCUGUUUAAGUCUUUUUGAAAACAUUCUUGAUUUUUCUCAAAAAUUAAGGGGCGACUUUAGAAAAAUCGAAAAAACAUACAAAAUAAAUGUUUUUCCUUCUCCAGCAUUAGUAGUAUUGAUAUUUGGGAAAAGGGUCUGAUAUACCCCUCAACUUUGUCAUUUGGAGCUGAUAUACCCCUCGUUAUAAAAGUGGCUCAUAUAUGCCCUUACCGUUAUAUAAACGGCUCACAUAUACCCCUGUCGUUACACAAUGACUCACAUAUACCCUUCAUUUAACGGAAGUUAAAAAAAUUAAUUUUAAAUUUAUAUUUAUUACUUCUAAUUUUUUUAAAAAAAUUAUAUAUAUGAUUCUUCUAUCAAAGUUCAAGGUAUAUUUUAAUUUUUUUCGUACAUAAAUUAUUUUUUGACUUCUUUUAUUAUAAUUAUUUGAAUUUCUUAUUUUUAUUUUAUUUUUUUCUUUCAUUCCUUAGUUUAAAGAAUAAAAAAUUAAACUAUUUUUUUGUGUGUAUUGUAAUUUAAUUUCGUAUUCGAAGAAAAAAUUUGGUCAUGUACAAUAAGUUUUACAAGAAUAUUAGUGAAACAUAAAUAAAUUUGAUUAUCAAAAUAAUAAUUAUAAAUUAGUCAUUGAAACAAAAAAAAGUCAAAAAAAUAUGUUUGACGAGGAUUAAAUUUACUAAUAUGAGAUUAUAUUUUUUAGAAAAAAAUAAUAAAUUUUAGAUUAAAAUUAUUAUUUUUUUCAUUUCUGUUAGAGGAAAAGUGUAUAUGUGAGCCAUUUGUUUACAAGUAGGGGUAUAUAUGAGCCACUUUCAUUACAAGGGGUAUAUCAGCUCAAAAUCACAAAAUUGAGGGGUAUAUCAGACCCUUUUCCCUUGAUAUUUUAUGAUAGAUCUCCUUCUGUCAUCCUUUCCAACAAAUCUAGAGUUCCCAUGGUGCGACCUUGAAUGGAUUUUAUGAUAGUCUUAAGAAGAUCCAUUGUGUUGUACUCUUGAGAAACACAUAUCCAAGCGCGUGUAGGGGCUAUAUUAGGACUGGUGUAAAGAUUUUUCGCAAGAGUGGUCUUGCCUAAACCCCCCAUUCCAUAAUGGAGAGAACGGUGAAGACCAACAAAAAUAUAAUCGUGGUCAUCGACAAAUGAGGUAGUUCGCCUCAAUGUUGUAACCUGAUUACUUGGCCCUUCAUCUCCUGAAAUGAUAUUUGUAAUACCAUAAGUCUCUCGUUUGCGAGAGAUAUCCAUGAUUUGUUUCUUGAGUGAUUUGAUCUCCUUGGCGACAUUGUAGAAUUUUUUCUUUUCCUUGCUACAUAUGCAGGCGCAAGCCUUGAGACGACUAGGACGACGUUUACCAGCCUCGAAGCUAUAAGUUUCGAGUAUAGCAACAGCAUCAUUAGCAGUAGAGUUGAUCUCAAACACCCAUUGUUGAACUCUUUGAUGCUUUUGUUCUGAAAGAGUGCAUGAAGAGAAGCUCGUUUCUCAGCCACUGUAUAUCUUCUCUUAGACUUAAACGUAGGUUAAUUUCCUGUAUUAGGAAAUCACCCAAAUUUUUUAUAUUACUUUUUGCCUGUACUUUUGUCAAAUCAAUCAAAUUACUAAUGUAUACUUGACGGGAAAAAAAUAAAAUCUAGUUAUCAAUUUGAAAAAUAUGAAUUUAGAACUCUAGUAACUUAAAAAGACUAAAAUCGCCGAGUGUUUAAAUACAAGAGAGAAAUGCUUUUAUUUGUUCUCUUUCGUAUGGGAUUCUUUUUCCUUUUUGUCCAAUCCGUUUUCAACCCGCUCAUGUUCAAUCCAACCUGCCCAUUUUAAGUCGCCGUACAAGACCUUGACUCAGCUGCCUCUUUUAGUCGGAUACUUAUGGAAGUUGCAUGGCCUCCUCUGAUGGAUUCUUUUCCCUUGCUUCUUGACCUUCAAGCUUCGAUGAGUUAGCGAUGGCUUCUGAUACAGCCUUUGGUAGCCAAAAUCCAGGUCUUUCAAUAGAGGCUGCACGAUCAAGUACCAAUGGUUCACGCAAUGUGAUCUGAAUGCCAUCAUAUGUCCACAUGACAAAAUCUGCUUCGCCUUUCAAACCUAGGGAGAACCAUCCUAAGCCAGCAACUGCAACAUCCAUGCUCUUGACAUCCCAGCUCGUUCCACGUGCUUUUACUUCCCUCUUUUAUUCCAUUGUCUCAACUCAGAAACUCGCUCCAUGGAAAUGGGAGGCUGAAGAUCAACAAAUGAAAACAGAACAAUUAGCAUGGUUCUGUGUUCUUUCCGAUUGUUUUCCUUUAAACUUGAGUAAAUUGAAACCAUCUAAGAGCCAUCGAUAAACCAGAACAAUUAGGAUUUGUUUACACAUACAACACUAUGACAUCUGCUAUCAGGCUAACAUGGAACAUGGAUUUGUUUUUGCAACUACGGCUUCUCAUUAGCAAAUAAUACACAUUGAUCUUCAACCAAAAACAUACUGAUACAGUUCGAAUGGAAUUGGCUAUAAAGUAGGAAAUAAUAUUGAAUCAGAAAUACUGCAAAGAAUUGGAGUAUUACCUGCAAUCACACUCCAGUAUGGUUGUUCUUGAGCUCAUCGGCAUUUCCUCUCUUCCCUAGAUGAAGAGGCGACACACUUGGUGAUGCCCAGACGGUGACAUAGAUUGUUUCUACUGAGGCAAAAACUAGAUCGAGUCUAACUAUGCCCCCAAUAUGUACAGUCUGCCCACGUGCAAGAAAAUUGUGAAAAUACAUUUUAGAGUCGAAAAGUACUUUUUGAUCUCAGGCAAGAAAUUGAGUUGCAGUCAUGUAUAUCUUUUAACUGCAAUAUAAAACUAAAAAAAAAAAAAAAAAACAGAUACAGAUGAGGGACGAAUAAAAGGAGUUAUCUGAAUCCCAAACCAUUUGAUAAGAGGUCAGUUUACAAUGAUUUAAGGUCAUUUUGUCAAAUUUCUCUCCAUUUCGAAGUUCACAGCACCUCGCACUGGCUUCAUCAAUAUGCAUCACAGGAUUCUUCAAAGUAAAGUGAAGUAAGCCUUCAGUUAAGAGGAAACUAAAAAAUACAAACAACUAUCUUCAAACCAAUUACGCUCACUCAAAAAGCUUAAAACAAUAAGAAAUCAAACACUAAGACCUUUAAGUGCUUGGCAGAAACGCCCCCCAUCAAUACCUUUAAGAUUAUGAAGAGGCCAAAAUAAGACAUCAUAUACACUUGAAAAGCUUCACAACGUAUAGUUCCUCUUCAACAGCUCCACGUUUUUCAUUCUCUCAGGAAUCUCCUUUAAAUUUGGACAGUCAUGGAUACGAAGACCUUUAAUCAGAGGCAUGGCACUUGUACCUAAAUGCCAUGUUUCUAGGUUCUCGAGAUCAUAAAGAAUAAGGAACUCUAGUUGACUGAAGCUGUUAUCACUGCACAUUAUUUCUUUUCCUUCAUAAGCUCUAAACAAAUCGAGAUUCCUUAGGUUGGGCAACAUUCCCAAAAUAGGCAUCGGAUCUUCUUUCAGUACGGAGAACCUCAGAACCAUCAUUGUGAUGGAACUUAGAAACAGAUUAGGCAGUUUCUCUAUUCUCCCUUCUAACCACAAUUUCUGGAGCUUUUGACAAGAAUUAACAAAUUCAAGAGAUGGGAAUGAUUCAUCAUAAUUUUUACACACCAAUGUGAGAGUGCUAAGGUUUUUCAAGCUGCUAAUGUUGUUUAGGGAGUAAGAUCUCUUAAUAUAAGCCAUGCCUAAUUCUCUAACAUUGACUAAAUCAACAGGGUCAACGUAUUUCCAUUGAUCACAACCAACACCUUUAAGAACUUGAAGACUAGUAAGUUUGCUUAUAUGCACCAGAGGUUCUGAAUACUGAGCAACUAAAUGUCUUAAAUUUAUUAGGUCAGCUGUCUUGCGGGGUAGUUGGAAAGUGUAAUCCGCUUCAUUGACAACAAGUGUCUGUAGAUUCUUGAGGUUGCCAAUGGAAGACGGAAGCUCAUCGAUACCUCUCAAGCUUAAGAACUUGAGGUGGUACAAACUCCCAAUGGAUCCAGGUACAACACCACCAUAUUUAAUAUUCAAGUACAACACAUAUAGAUGUCGAAACAUAUCUAUAUGUUGGAACACAUUACGAAAAUGUGGAUCGAAGACCAUAAUUGACCUCAACUUUAAGUUAGAAAGAUCAAGUGAGGGGUACCUUUGUCCUUGACUAUGAAUGACAUGUCGGAUACAUACAGAGGAUAUGGAGUGGCUUGUUGGAUCAUAAACGUCAAAGAAGUUUACCUCCAAUGCCUUUUGUAUCGCAAGAUCAUGGAGUAAAUCAUGAACCCUACAUUCAGUAACUUUUUCCCAAAAUGUAUUAGCCACUUGAACCAAGCUUCGUCUUAUCAGCUCAUUCAAGAAGCUUUCAGCGACAUCCUCCAUUCUUUCUCCUCUGGGUAUGAAACCCUCUGCCAUCCACAACCGUAUUAUGUUAUCAGCCUCGACCACUUGAUCUUCUGGAAAAAUACCAAAGUAGAGAAAACACUGCUUGAGCGCAGUUGACAAAUCAUUGUAGCUUAAUGAUAGUAUGUUAGAGAUUUCAAUAGAUUUAUCUUCUUUAAUGUUCUUCCAAAGGUGAUCUUUCACCUUUUGCCAUUCGUUUAGCCCCUUUUUAUGCGAAAGUAGUCCGCUCAAUACAACAACUGCAAGAGGUAAGCCUCUACACUUUUCCACCAUAUCCUUAGCUAGACUUUCCAUUUCUGGAACCAUUGCUCGAAUAUCAAGUAGUUUCCUAAGAAAGAGAUCCCAAC